UACGAAGGGGACUAGCGUUGUUCGGAAUCACUGGGCGUAAAGCGCGUGUAGGCGGCUUGGUAGGUCUGCUGUGAAAACUCGGGGCUCAACCCCGAGACGUCGGUGGAAACCACCUGGCUAGAGUCCGGAAGAGGAGAGUGGAAUUCCUGGUGUAGCGGUGAAAUGCGCAGAUAUCAGGAAGAACACCCGUGGCGAAGGCGGCUCUCUGGGACGGUACUGACGCUGAGGAGCGAAAGCGUGGGGAGCAAACAGG
rnacentral:rRNA from 1 species